rnacentral:rRNA from 1 species
UACAGAGACCCCAAGCGUUAUCCGGAAUUAUUGGGCGUAAAGGGUGUGUAGGUGGUCAUGUUAGUCUUCGUUAAAACCCGGGGCUUAACCCCGGACCUGCGAAAGAUACGGCACGACUAGAGGAUGGCAGGGAUGUGUGGAACUCAUGGAGUAGGGGUGAAAUCCGUUGAUAUCAUGGGGAACACCGAAAGCGAAGGCAGCACAUUGGGCCACUCCUGACACUGAAACACGAAAGCGUGGGUAGCGAAUGGG